CAAGUCAAUUGAGUCAAAAUGUU
rnacentral:miRNA from 1 species